GGCAAACCCCAUCCGGGGCAAGGCCAAAUAGGGGAGCAUUGGCGUGGCUCGCGUCGCUCCCGGGUAGGCUGCUAGAGCUUCACGGUAACGUGUCGCCCAGAGGAAUGACUGCCCGAUGUCGCCGGCUUGCCGGCGGCGUUCGACAGAACCCGGCUUAUCGGCGAACUUCCCCA
rnacentral:RNase_P_RNA from 1 species